rnacentral:misc_RNA from 1 species
UUCGAGCGUCAUUUCAACCCUCAAGCACAGCUUGGUCUUGGGCCGCGCCGCUAACCCGGCGGGUCUUAAAAUCAGUGGCGGUGCCGUCGGGCCCUGAGCGUAGUAAAUCUCCUCGCUACAGGUCCCGGUGGACGCUGGCCAGCAACCCCCAAUUUUCUAUGGUUGACCUCGGAUCAGGUAGGGAUACCCGCUGAACUUAA